rnacentral:rRNA from 1 species
AGUGGCGGACGGGUGAGUAACGCGUGGGGAACCUGCCCCAUACCGGGGGAUAACAGCCGGAAACGGCUGCUAAUACCGCAUAAGCGCACAGUACCGCAUGGUACGGUGUGAAAAACUCCGGUGGUGUGAGAUGGAUCCGCGUCUGAUUAGGUAGUUGGUGAGGUAACGGCCCACCAAGCCGACGAUCAGUAGCCGACCUGAGAGGGUGACCGGCCACAUUGGGACUGAGAGACGGUCCAGACUCCUACUGGAGGCAGCAGUGGGGAAUAUUUGGGCAAUGGGCGAAAGCCUGACCCAGCAACGCCGCGUGAGGGAAGAAGGGUUUCGGCUCGUAAACCUCUGUCCUAUGGGACGAAGGAAGUGACGGUACCAUAGGAGGAAGCCCCGGCUAACUACGUGCCAGCAGCCGCGGUAAUACGUAGGGGGCGAGCGUUGUCCGGAAUGAUUGGGCGUAAAGGGCGCGUAGGCGGCCUGCUAAGUCUGGAGUGAAAGUCCUGCUUUCAAGGUGGGAAUUGCUUUGGAUACUGGUGGGCUGGAGUGCAGGAGAGGAAAGCGGAAUUACCGGUGUAGCGGUGAAAUGCGUAGAGAUCGGUAGGAACACCAGUGGCGAAGGCGGCUUUCUGGACUGAAACUGACGCUGAGGCGCGAAAGCGUGGGGAGCAAACAGAAAUAGAUACCCUGGUAGUCCACGCGGUAAACGAUGACUCCUAAGUGUAGGAGGUAUUCGACCCCUUUUGUGCCGCAGUAAACACAAUAAGCAUUCCGCCUGGGGAGUACGGCCGCAAGGUUGAAACUCAAAGGAAUUGACGGGGGCCCGCACAAGCAGCGGAGCAUGUGGUUUAAUUCGAAGCAACGCGAAGAACCUUACCAGGUCUUGACAUCCGUGUAAAGCCGCAGAGAUGCGGUGUGAGCUUGCUCAAUACGAGACAGGUGGUGCAUGGUUGUCGUCAGCUCGUGUCGUGAGAUGUUGGGUUAAGUCCCGCAACGAGCGCAACCCUUAUCGUCCGUUACUAACGCGUAAAGGCGAGGACUCAGACGAGACCGCCGGGGACAACUCGGAGGAAGGUGGGGACGACGUCAAAUCAUCAUGCCCCUUACGACCUGGGCUACACACGUGCUACAAUGGGUACAACAAAGAGAAGCGAGACCGCAAGGUGGAGCAAAACUCAGAAAAGUACUCUCAGUUCAGAUAGUGGGCUGCAACCCGCCCACAUGAAGUUGGAGUUGCUAGUAAUCGCGGAUCAGCAUGCCGCGGUGAA